CGGCGAGUGGCGCAGUUUGGUAGCGCAAUUGGUUUGGGACCAAUGGGUCGGAGGUUCAAAUCCUCUCUCGCCGA
rnacentral:tRNA from 1 species